rnacentral:lncRNA from 1 species
AAAUAUUUUGAGACAGGACGGGACACAAAUUAUUAUUUUUUCAUUCUGUACAUGCUUUACUCUGCUUUCUGACCCCACACUAUUUAAUGGCUAUAGAAAGGCUUGCAGAAACCCAGGGAAGAGCAUCUUAGUAGUUUAUCAUGUGACAUGUCUCCCUGGAGUAAAAGCCUGGAGACCCAUUUUAACAGAAAGGCAGGGUGAGUGACUUCCUGAGAGCACUUUGAGAAAAUAACACUUGUUUGGGAAUGAAUUCUUCCUUAGUGUUUUCCACCACAGGGAGGGAGGGAGAGUGGGAAAUGUGCUUAGAUUUUCCUAGUGGAAAAUGCAGGUGUUUAAAAUCAGCACUGGGCGCGCUGCUCCUGAGAAUGAGGAAUGAGUUGGUGGUGCCUUUAAGAAGGGACCAGGUAUCCUUGGUGACAGGAAGUCAACAACUCCUAACAUUCCAGUACCGGCCAUCUUCUCAUUCUGCUAUUGCUACUUCCAACAGUUACUUGGCAAGCUGGCAAGCAGGGAGUUCGUUCUCUCACUUGUGAUAGUGACUGAGUAAUAAGAAGUCACUUAAAAGCUGAGUGUUGAUCAUUUAAUAGUGACAGGAUUUUGAUUGAAGACUUUGAAGUUCUGUGGGGUGUUUCCCAAUAUCUCUGGAGCCCUCUGGUCUUCCAAAACCAUCAGAAUGGCAGUACCACUGAGCCCUUCAUCCGAUCCAGCCAAUAAAAAUAAUAUGAUUGCGUGUAACCAGGCAUUGCAUUGCCGACUAGCAGAGAACCAGCAGGAAAUACAAGAUCUGAAAGAGAUAGUUCGUCAUUUCAGCUUCAUCCUCCACCAAGAGGAAAACAAUUAUGGUGAGGGCCGAGAGGUGAUUCAAUCCAGGCUAAGGGAGAAGCCAGCACUUGGAACUCCACAGCUUGAGAAGCUGGCACCUGCCGAGUUCAAGAAAUGCCAUGUAAAUAAGGCACACACCCGCAAGUGGCACCGGCUACGUAAGAAGUCAAGAAAACAGACACAGAUUUGUCAUCUCAGCCUACAUCCCAGAGCCCUCCUCACCCAGCAUGACCCUGACAGCCACUACACACGGGGCUUGCUGGAGCCACUGGUUGUUCACGUCAGGCUGGAAAAGCAUCUUGUCUACAAAUGUAGCCUGGCAAAAGAAAUGAUGCAAAUGAAGGGUGGUUGCUGGGACUUAAUCUGCCCCAGCAGGAUCAGUGGGUGCUUUCCACCUCAAGUAGAGCCUGAGUUGGUACCAGGGCUGGUCAUGGGUGAAUAUUGUUGGUGCAUCGUCAUGAAAGCCACGCUGGUUAUGCAGCAGCAUUAUCCUGGUGGUGGCUGGAUGAUAGUGCUGGAAGAGUACUCAUGGUGCACAAGGUUUGGAGUCUAUGGGAAUUCCCUUGAGGACAGAGUGCCACAUGAAGCCAAACCUGUAUUGUGUGAAAACCGAUCUCUAGCUGAAGGGCAUCGCAUCAUGGCAUGCACACACCUUGCAGAUGCACCUUACAUGUGGCAUGCCUCCUGGGGGGACAAGCUGGAAAUACUGUUCCAGGCCUGGGCCAGGGUCCAGCAGCCCUUAGCCCAGCAGUCCAUCCACUGGAUAGAGGCCAUUGAGGGGUAUGAUACCUCCUCCCAAAAGGAUGAAGUGGUAUCUGCAGAAAGAGCUGAGCUUAUCCCCAGGUAAAUCUACAGAUGGGUUGAGGGUAUUUUUGUAUGGACAUGUGGAGGUGGCAGACACGGAGAGGAGAGAAGUGCCCUGAGAGCCAUUUAUACCACUCAAAGGUCCUCCCAUAAAGACUCUGGGAGCACAUCUUGGAAAAUCCAUGUGCUGAAUCAGGCCCCAAACACUGUGUCCUUAACCUCGCUGGACAACUGCAUAAGUUCCCCUGGGAAUGAACUGCUUCUGUGUGGCAUUCAUAAAGUGAGGAGCCACUCCCUCAGCCCCUCUACUUGUCCCUCAUCCACAUCCCUGCAGUACAGUGACAAAGACAGGGAAUGUCCAAUGCCCUGACACACUCCACAGUGCUCACAGAAAUGGGCACACAGUCCCAAGCUGGUCUGGGGUAUUAAAGUGCUUUAGUUUCAUUGGGACAUUGAGCGCCAAGGGGAUUCUAUUCCCUGAAACUAGACAACUGGCUUCUGGCAAGCUUGUUCUUUCCUGUGCCAAGGGUGCUGGAAGAGGGGCACCAGAGCCCUCUGCUCCUGAUGUGCCUUCUGGCCUUUAGCUGACAGCAUCCUCUGCUCCUGUGUUUCUGUCUAACCCUCUCUAUGUCCUGCUUGGUCUGCCCUAUCUUUGUGAAAACUCACUUUGUCUGAACAAGGGGAAGAUCUAGAUUGGAUGGCUCAUAGAGGAUGGUCCUGUCCCUUUGAUUAACAGACCCUUUCAGACUGCUAGGAAGGUUUGGUGGAACUGGGUUGGAACUGAAUGACCUUAUGCUGAGCCCUCAUCUUUUCCUCCCCUCUUGUCCUGCCCUCUGCAUUCACACCUCAGGGUGUGUGGAGAUCCACCCCCACUGGAAGGGCCAGAUACCAUCGUGCCCAUCCUCAAGGAAGAUGGAUCCUACCUGCUCUGUGGAUUUUGGGCUGAUGAGCCUGAAGCACCAGCCCAGGCCUGGUCUGAGACUGUGAAAUGUACAAUCCAGCAGCCCGUCUGCUGUGCUGAGGCCAUUGUGGGUGAGUCCUCU